AGUAGAGGAACAAAGGAGAGAUAAAGAUUGGACUCAAAUUCAUUGCUAAUGUAAGCAAACAUUUUUAUGUGACAUCCAUCAAUUUCUUGUAAUUACGCAUCAGUGGAUUAGAUCACUGAUCUUACAUAAAAUCACCAUCUUUGGCAGAAAGAAGUACUCCCAGAGAGGACUUUCCAUUGUAAAUCUCUGGAAAUUUUCAUGGUGGAGGUUCUGGCUUUAUCAUAUUCAGAGAAAUACUAAAAACAAUACAGGAAGAUUAGAAGUAUAUUAAUUAGAUCAUAAUCUUGAAUCAUAGUCCAAGGAAAAACUUCCUCACGAAAUCAAGAUGGAUUGAGCCUGUGGGAAUUGGAUCAUAUUUUGGUUAUCAAUGGGGAAAAUGUUUCCGUCCAGGAAAUCUGUUCAGAACUCAUCAGAAUAUGUUCCUCAUUGUAGUUUUCAUAUUAUAAGUUAUAAUAAAAAAAGCUAAAACAUACGGGGAAACAUGUUGUUUUUCUCACAAAAUGUAAUAAAUUGCUGCAGUGUUUCUCCAUAUUUUUUUUUUAACACAUGAUUUUCUUUUUUUUUUGUUUUUUUUUGUUAUGAUUGUUUUUAAAAAACUUUUGUUAAUUUUAUUUUUUAAUAUUGAAAUAAUUGAGAAUUUAAUUUUAUAAUUUUUUUUUAAUUUAUAUUGAUUUAUAAGUUGAGCAACAUCAGGUUCUCUCCCCGUGUUAUAUAUAUGGUCAACUUAGAAGCUUCUGAAUAGUCGUUUCUGUAAGAGUACUUUCUUUUAGUGACUAUGGGCAACGGGUCUGAAAAUUGUAGCCUGCAUCUGUUCAAUAGCUGAAUGGACAACAACAAUACCUUCAUUGAGUCCUUGGUUGGUCAAUUUUGCAUAGGAAUACUUUUUUUUUUUCUGGUAAUUUUGUAUGGAACGGUAGACUUGUUGUUUUGCACCUAAAAGUAUGUUCAUGCAUUUGCUUAAUAAAGAAAUAUUUGACCUGAUAAUCUUGAGAUUUUGUUUCUUUGCCAACCCUAUGGAACAGGGAACACAUUUGCAAAAUGGGAUGCACGUCUGUCUCAGGAGUCACGACCCAUUUGAGAAAUUCUGUGUUUCAUAAAAAAAAUGUUAGCAGGAAAUGGAUUUCUUUUCAAAUUGGUACGAGUUUUUCUUUAGACCGAUGGCGAGAGUUCAUCAAUUAUAUACGAAGGCUAAUGUAUUCCACAUGUCUUCCAAGCUAACCUCCGACCGAGCUAACAACUCUUUCUUAUUAAAUUCUAACGUAUACAACUAAGGGUUGCAUGUUCUUUCUUUCCUUCUUUUUUCUUUUUCUUUUUCUUUUUCUUUUAAGGAAUAAAGUUGAGCUGUAAUGAUAUAGAUGUUUAAGAAUGAGGUUAUUUGGUUUUUGUACAGUAGGUAAUCACAUAUACAUAUUAAUAUUUUAUUUUUCA
rnacentral:lncRNA from 1 species